rnacentral:lncRNA from 1 species
AUGUAUCUGGUAGCUAAAGCUGCAUGUCCUCUGCCCAGGGAACUGCUGGGGGACUCCUCGCUUUUUGGGAGGGCUGCCAAGGCCCCGUCUGUUUGCAUCUCCUCGUCCUGCAGCCAGCGCCCUGACAGCGUGGUAGUGACCGGUCCUGCUGAUGGUAAAGAGACUUCUCCCACCAAACGCCUCAGCUGGUUUUGGGAAGCACCUCCACGCCGAAGGACUGAAUUCCUAAAUUUGUUUAGUGACAGAAACUGCUCCGGAAAAGCCUGCGAAAGGUAAGCUGGCUUUGGGAAUGCACAUUAUCCUUUGAUGAUUCUCCAUGUUUUCCUCCAACACUUUCCCAGUAGUAACUUAUUUUUUUCCAACUCUCCCUGGGGUAUUAAGUCGGUCUUAUUAUAGCAAAUAAACAUUAAAACUGAACUGAAAUGAGCUUAGGAAGAAACGGAGGUCAGUUUAUAGGAAGACUAAUCUAAAUACGGGGUGAAAUAGGGAGCAAGGCACAUGUCCACCUACAGUCAUCUGAAAAAGAAAACCUGCUUUACUCAAGAAAAAGGGCUCUAGUCUUGCCUCAUGCAUAUACACUUAGAAACACAUCGGGAUUAUUAUUAGCCUUUACUGCAGCAUUUGGAUCAGCUCCCCAUUAUGUAGGUUAGGUACAAGACAUGUAUUCCAUGCUCUGAAAACUUAAAAUAUGGUUUCUGUUCUACCCAUGUUUCCACAGAGCAGGUUUUAGUGCUAGAAAGUCACCAGCUUUAUGGGAAAUUGCAGUACUUGAGGAAUAGGCAAUUUGCAGGGGGAAAACAGGCCGUGGAAUUUAAUGAUAAAUAGUGAUAUACAACAUAAAUUAUUAAAAAGAACCAACUCUUCUUUAAUAUAAUUACAUUUUAUUUCAUCUCAGAGGAGAGGAAACAGCCUAAUUGGAUAGAUGGGAGAGCAAGCCAGGGAAGGCAAGGCGGCUUUUUGUCUGCUGUGCUGCAAACCUAUGGGCACGGGGAGCUCAGCACCUGGAGCUGGACCUUGCGUCUCUGCCCCUGGGCACGACUCUUCUGGGGAGAGAUGUGGGCGCAGGCCUGGGUAUAGGUUAGGAUUUUAGCUUUAUGGCAGCAGAGCUACCAUGAGGGAAAACCACUCCUGUCCUGCCAGGAAGGGCCAGUUAGCAGGAAUAUCAAGAACGUAGGCUGAGGACUUUAGUUGUGGUAAAUCCCCAUGUGCGCAAAUACAUAAUGCGGACAGGCAGUAAUACUUUGAAAUAGUCUUGUAUCCCUCAAUGUAAUAAAUAUUUUAUUAGAAUAAUAGAAAAAAUGCAUACAGAUAACCAUAGGAUACACACACGACUGGAAGUUUAAGGAUAAAUUUCAAACUUUUCAAUAUGAAACAAAGUACUUGGUACAUAUCUCAUGGAGAUAUAUAACUAGAAAUUAAAUAAUACAAUGUAAUAGCAUGAGAAUGGCAACACAGGAAUGUGAAAUAGAAUUCUGUGAAACAAGAAUAGAAAGAUUCACCCUUUGUUGCAUGAAACAUAACUAUAUACUUACUAGUAACAUCUCUUCUCCAUUUCCCCCCUCCCCCCGUUUGCAAGUGUCUGAAAACAUCACUGGUUAGCCACAUUGAAAAGCAACUAGCCAUUUAUAACCACAUAUGUACAGUAUAUACAGAUCUUGCUUACCUCAACAGUUAGCACAUAGUUUCAUAUGGAUGUGAUACUAAUAAUGUAAUUUGCUAUUUGAAUGCAUAUCAAGGUAUUUCUACAGUGCUAUCAUGGUUUCAUUAAUCCUGGUUCUCUCUCUUUAUAUUUCUGUGUGUUGUAAUAAUACUGUGAGAUAGAAAUGAACCUCUUUAAAGGGAUAUGCUUUAUGUCAUGUGAACACUUGCUCUACCAUGGAUGUGGGUAGCUCUUUAAAAGGUGUCUAGAAGGCUGACUUGGUCUAAAUUCACAACUGUUAAAGUCCAAUGUACCAGGUUUAAUGUAUAUUUAUUAUAUUGCUAUGAAAGAAAGCAUAGAUUUCUCUGUAAUAUCAAGCUUGAAGUGUCUUUGUGUAUUUUUUGUAUUAUAAAUUAUACUAUUGCCAUAAACUUACUAGAAUUAUAUGAUAGUAAUGGGUGCAGUAGAGUGCCAGACCAGGUGAAAUACUUUGAACUGGUUAAAGAGCAGCUGGAAGGAGAGUUAUGAAUGUAACAGCAAACGCUGAAUUAAGGAUGAGUUUACAUUGCAGUGUGGUAGACAAAACAGCAAAAUAAUUUUGGGCUGCAUAUUGGGAAGCACCACAUCACAAGGUAGGGAGGUGGUAAUAGUCCCUUUUGGUAAGGCCAUGGUGCAACUGCAUUUCAGUAAUGCUUAAACAUGGGCACUUCUGUUAGCAAAACGCAAUGACAGGAGUUCAGAGAAGGGCAAUUAGAGCAAUCCUGAAGGUGGGAGAACUUGGUUAUGAAGAAGGAACCUGGUUACAAAAUAUAAGGUAGAGAUGCAAGGAAAUUAACUUAGAAGUCUAUUGAUUAAGAGGAGGAUCAGGGGCUUGAAGGGUACAUAAACAUGCACUGUGAUAAAACAGAGAGCCUUCUUUGAAACAUGGCUGUGAGAUAAUUUCUUAUGAGUAGUAGUGGAAGCCCUGCCUCUUGGACACCUCAACAUGGACUGUGCAAAACUAACAUUCAUGCUGAGACUUUUCUCUACCUUCUAGCUUUGAUUUCUUGCUAGAUUUAGAAUAACCUGUAUAAAGGGCAGCAAGCAAACAGAUCCAAGUUGACUGGAUUACGACACUGUCUUAAGAACUGCCGGUUGGUUGACGUGUGCUAUUCUGACUGAAGGUAUGUCUCUGAUCUCAUCUUUCAUUUGUACAUAACAAUACAGAACGUACUCAAAACAACAAGUCAUUGUCAUUGCAAAAAUGGAAUUUCUCAUAGAGCUAAGCUCGUCCUUGUAGGUGAUCACAGUGCCAUUGCUUUCACCCUCUCUUUUACAUUGUAUCUGAAGUAUGUAAUAUGUAAACUCCUUUGGUUCAAGUAUUAAGGCAUUUUAGAUUCCUUUUUAAAGGAUUUGCUAAACUUUACAUGAUAUUUUUACUUCAUCCUACAGUGAAAUAUAAAGAAUUUAAAAACACGUCAGAAGAAAAACAUGCAUUAACCACUGCAUUUUUUUUUUAAAAAAAAGCACUUUUCUGUAAUAACUGAUUCAUUUUUUUUUUUCU